rnacentral:rRNA from 1 species
UUGCCCUAGUAACGGCGAGUGAAGCGGCAACAGCUCAAAUUUGAAAUCUGGCUUCGGCCCGAGUUGUAAUUUGCAGAGGAAGCUUUAGGCGCGGCACUUUCUGAGUCCCCUGGAACGGGGCGCCAUAGAGGGUGAGAGCCCCGUAUAGUUAGAUGCCUAGCCUGUGUAAAGCUCCUUCGACGAGUCGAGUAGUUUGGGAAUGCUGCUCAAAAUGGGAGGUAAAUUUCUUCUAAAGCUAAAUACCGGCCAGAGACCGAUAGCGCACAAGUAGAGUGAUCGAAAGAUGAAAAGCACUUUGAAAAGAGGGUUAAAUAGCACGUGAAAUUGUUGAAAGGGAAGCGCUUGUGACCAGACUUGCGCCGGGCAGAUCAUCCGGUGUUCUCACCGGUGCACUCUGCCCGGCUCAGGCCAGCAUCGGUUCUCGCGGGGGGAUAAAGGCCCUGGGAACGUAGCUCCUCCGGGAGUGUUAUAGCCCGGGGCGUAAUGCCCUCGCGGGGACCGAGGUUCGCGCAUCUGCAAGGAUGCUGGCGUAAUGGUCAUCAGCGACCCGUCUUGAAACACGGACCAAGGAGUCAAGGUUUUGCGCGAGUGUUUGGGUGUAAAACCCGCACGCGUAAUGAAAGUGAACGUAGGUGAGAGCUUCGGCGCAUCAUCGACCGAUCCUGAUGUUUUCGGAUGGAUUUGAGUAGGAGCGUUAAGCCUUGGACCCGAAAGAUGGUGAACUAUGCUUGGAUAGGGUGAAGCCAGAGGAAACUCUGGUGGAGGCUCGCAGCGGUUCUGACGUGCAAAUCGAUCGUCAAAUCUGAGCAUGGGGGCGAAAGACUAAU